UUAAUUGCAGUAUAAUCCCUUCCACUUCUUUCCUCGCUGGAUUCAGCAUAGUAACACAGGAACCUUGGUCCUUGGGAGUUGUGUGCAACUGUACGAGAUCAUAAACACCACGACCACCAUGUACAUGGUCAUGGAGUAUGCCAGUCAUGCCCUCACCACCAUCCCUCUCCAGAACUUUUUCAUCUUGCCAAAGUUAAACACUAACCCCUCCCCCAGCUCCUGGCAACCACCGUUCUAUCUGCCUGUGUGAGUUUGACUGCUCUGGGGACCUCACAUAGGGAUCACAGCAUUUGUCCUUUUGGGACUGGCGCGUUUCAUUCAGCAUAAGCCAGAGAAUCUGUUACUUGACAAGAAGUAUAACAUCAAAAUAACUGAUUUUGGGCACUCCACUGCAGACCUUUUGCGGGACCACUUUCUACGUAGCCCCGGAGAUCUUGGAGGGAAAAAAGUAUCACGGCCCCAUCAUAGACAUGUGGAGUUUGGGGGUGGUACCUUAUGUGCUCGUUACCGGCACCCUGUCCUUUGAUGAGGACAAUCUGAAGGUAUAAUUUCCAAUUAGUGGUAUUUUGGUCCAUGUUUUUUGUUGAUUGCACGUCCAACUCUCGGUCUUUGUUCAU